UACGUAGGGGGCAAGCGUUGUCCGGAAUCAUUGGGCGUAAAGAGCGUGUAGACGGCCCGAUAAGUCCGCUGUGAAAGUCCAGGGCUCAACCCUGGAAUGCCGGUGGAUACUGUCGGGCUCGAAUCCGGAAGAGGUGAGUGGAAUUCCUGGUGUAGCGGUGAAAUGCGCAGAUAUCAGGAGGAACACCAAUGGCGAAGGCAGCUCACUGGGACGGUAUUGACGCUGAGACGCGAAAGCGUGGGGAGCAAACAGG
rnacentral:rRNA from 1 species